CUGAACUUUAGGGAGUGCUGUAAUUUACUGGAGAGAGGGAACACAAGACUCCGGGCCCCAAGCCAUUGGUGGGAAACCAGAUCUCAAAAGCAGAAAAUGAAAAGUCGAUCUGGGGGAAGAUUUUUAAAUAAGUGGGUCAGAGGGACGGAGAGGAGAUGAGGCGAUCAAUCUUAGCCCCCUGACAGCUCCCUCCGAUGGCAUCAAAGAAUUUGGCUCUUUGGGAAAGCGGAGGGAACAGCCUAAAUUCCACAUCCCUUUAAAAGGCCUGGGGGUGGGGGGUGAUAGCCAAAGAGAAAGGUGAUUCUGCGAGAGCGGGGAAACAGAUGGGAAAUGGGGACAGAGGGAAGGCCGCUGAGUUGGGUGGAAAGUUUGUCUGGAGAACUCCCACGGCUCCGGCCUCCCCUCCCCCUCCCCCUCUCGGCGGCUGGGCCCAGAGGAGAAGGCUGGUGAGCAGAGAAAUGGCAGAUGAGCCGGCCGCUGGAACUAGAAACUUUGUGUCACUCUAACAGUCCCGUGGGUGGCGGAGAAUUGCAAGAAAGGAAAAAAAUCGAGAUUUGGAGGAAUUACCCACAAAGAUGGAAGGUGUGUUAAUUUGGGCGCUUCUUGGAUUCUACCCUGAGGAGGAGGCGCGUGGUGAGAGGAGAG